rnacentral:rRNA from 1 species
AACGAACGCUGGCGGCAGGCUUAACACAUGCAAGUCGAGCGCCCCGCAAGGGGAGCGGCAGACGGGUGAGUAACGCGUGGGAACUUACCUUUUGGUUCGGAACAACUCCGGGAAACUGGAGCUAAUACCGGAUAAGCCCUAACGGGGAAAGAUUUAUCGCCGAAAGAUCGGCCCGCGUCUGAUUAGCUAGUUGGUGAGGUAACGGCUCACCAAGGCGACGAUCAGUAGCUGGUCUGAGAGGAUGGUCAGCCACACUGGGACUGAGACACGGCCCAGACUCCUACGGGAGGCAGCAGUGGGGAAUAUUGCACAAUGGGCGCAAGCCUGAUCCAGCCAUGCCGCGUGAGUGAUGAAGGCCUUAGGGUUGUAAAGCUCUUUUGUCCGGGAAGAUAAUGACGGUACCGGAAGAAUAAGCCCCGGCUAACUUCGUG